CUGUUGUUGGACACUAAGAUUCUUCUAUAUCUCUACUUUGUCAUUCAUAGCUUUUGCUUCAUCCUUAGGCUCCUUCUUAUGGUCAUAAUACAGCUGUUUGCACAUCAUUAUCCAGGAGAGAAGAUUCACUUCCAUAUCCCCAAGCCCCAUGAGAGGCCUAUGCAUCUUGAACCAACUACUGGAUUUCGUUGUAGCUUUUGUGGCACCCUUGCACUGCACCCUCCGGCAUGCCUUCAGCACCAGGAGUUCAGAAGAGGAGUUGGAGGGCUCAGCAGACAGCGGUCACCGAUACCCUAGGACAGCUUCAGACUGGGAAGAUGUACGAGAAAGCAGAGAUCAUGGAGAGCUUCACCUCUUGGACAGCGCGUGGCCCUCAAAACACCUACCUUCGUCAAAGACAUGGUAUUUGAUCUAAGUCUUGCUAAACAUAGUGAUUAGGAAAUAGGAAAAGUUUUACUUAAAAGUUAAAAUAUCUUGGGGUGCCUGGCUGGCUCAGUAGGUUAAGCAUCUGCCUUUAGCUCAGUUCAUGAUCUUAGUGUCCUGGGAUGGAGCUCCCAGUCAGGUUCUCUGCUCAGCAGGAAGUCUGCUUCUACCUCUCCCUCUGUCUGCCACUCCCCCUCCUCGUGUGCUUGCUCCCUCUCUAUCAAAUAAAUAAAAUCUUUUUUAAGAAAUAAAAAUUAGC
rnacentral:lncRNA from 12 species